rnacentral:tRNA from 1 species
AGAGUAACAGCUCAGUGGUAGAGUGCAUGCUUAUUAGCACGCAUGAAGUCCUGGGUUCAAUUCCCAGUACCUUCA